GAUAUUUACAAUGGUAAAAAGAGACAAAGAGUUGAGAGCCAAGUUUGAAGAAAGGAAUGAACCUUAAUACAAAACAUUGGAGGACGUCAUCUUCCACCGAAAGCAAUUAUUAAAGAUUCGGUCAUUUGAAGAAACCUCGUAUCUUUUCCUUCUCAAUUAAAAAAAUAUCAGGAUUCUGAUGAGAUGGUGGCCAGAAUAUACAUC
rnacentral:lncRNA from 1 species